GCUAGGUGUGAUGGCUCAUGCCUGUAACCCCACCUACUCAGGAGGCUGAGGCAGGAGGAUCUUAGUUCAGGGCUAGCCUGGUUAACAGUGAGACCCUGUCUUUC
rnacentral:sRNA from 1 species